AUUGAACGCUGGCGGCAUGCUUUACACAUGCAAGUCGAACGGUAACAGAUUAAGCUGACGAGUGGCGAACGGGUGAGUAAUGCAUCGGAACGUGCCCGAUCGUGGGGGAUAACGCAGCGAAAGCUGCGCUAAUACCGCAUACGAUCUGAGGAUGAAAGCGGGGGACCGUAAGGCCUCGCGCGAUCGGAGCGGCCGAUGUCAGAUUAGGUAGUUGGUGGGGUAAAGGCCCACCAAGCCGACGAUCUGUAGCUGGUCUGAGAGGACGACCAGCCACACUGGGACUGAGACACGGCCCAGACGCCUACGGGAGGCAGCAGUGGGGAAUUUUGGACAAUGGGCGAAAGCCUGAUCCAGCAAUGCCGCGUGCAGGAAGAAGGCCUUCGGGUUGUAAACUGCUUUUGUACGGAGCGAAAAGGUCCUUUCUAAUACAAGGGGCUCAUGACGGUACCGUAAGAAUAAGCACCGGCUAACUACGUGCCAGCCGCCGCCGUAAUAC
rnacentral:rRNA from 1 species